GACGAACGCUGGCGGCGUGCCUAAUACAUGCAAGUAGAACGCACAGUUUAUACCGUAGCUUGCUACACCAUAGACUGUGAGUUGCGAACGGGUGAGUAACGCGUAGGUAACCUGCCUGGUAGCGGGGGAUAACUAUUGGAAACGAUAGCUAAUACCGCAUAAUAUUGAUUAUUGCAUGAUAAUUGAUUGAAAGAUGCUAUUGCAUCACUACCAGAUGGACCUGCGUUGUAUUAGCUAGUAGGUGAGGUAACGGCCCACCUAGGCGACGAUACAUAGCCGACCUGAGGGGGUGGUCGGCCACACUGGGAAUGAGACAAGGCCCAGACUCCUACGGGAGGCAGCAGGAGGGGAUCUUCGGCAAUGGACGAAAGUCUGACCGAACAACGCCGCGUGAGUGGAGAAAGUUUUCGGGUCGUAAAGCUAUGUUGUAAGGGAAGAACGGGUGUGAGAGUGGAAAGUUCACACUGUGACGGUAUCUUACCAGAAAGGGACGGCUAACUACGUG
rnacentral:rRNA from 1 species